rnacentral:rRNA from 1 species
ACAUUUYUAGCUUGCUAGAAGAUGACGAGCGGCGGACGGGUGAGUAAUACUUAGGAAUCUACCUAGUAGUGGGGGAUAGCUCGGGGAAACUCGAAUUAAUACCGCAUACGACCUACGGGAGAAAGGGGGCAACUUGUUGCUCUCGCUAUUAGAUGAGCCUAAGUCGGAUUAGCUAGAUGGUGGGGUAAAGGCCUACCAUGGCGACGAUCUGUAGCUGGUCUGAGAGGAUGAUCAGCCACACCGGGACUGAGACACGGCCCGGACUCCUACGGGAGGCAGCAGUGGGGAAUAUUGGACAAUGGGGGCAACCCUGAUCCAGCCAUGCCGCGUGUGUGAAGAAGGCCUUUUGGUUGUAAAGCACUUUAAGCAGUGAAGAAGACUCUGUGGUUAAUACCCACAGACGAUGACAUUAGCUGCAGAAUAAGCACCGGCUAACUCUGUGCCAGCAGCCGCGGUAAUACAGAGGGUGCAAGCGUUAAUCGGAAUUACUGGGCGUAAAGCGAGCGUAGGUGGCUUGAUAAGUCAGAUGUGAAAUCCCCGGGCUUAACCUGGGAACUGCAUCUGAUACUGUUAGGCUAGAAUAGGUGAGAGGAAGGUAGAAUUCCAGGUGUAGCGGUGAAAUGCGUAGAGAUCUGGAGGAAUACCGAUGGCGAAGGCAGCCUUCUGGCAUCAUAUUGACACUGAGGUUCGAAAGCGUGGGUAGCAAACAGGAUUAGAUACCCUGGUAGUCCACGCCGUAAACGAUGUCUACUAGUCGUUGGGUCCCUUGAGGACUUAGUGACGCAGCUAACGCAAUAAGUAGACCGCCUGGGGAGUACGGCCGCAAGGUUAAAACUCAAAUGAAUUGACGGGGGCCCGCACAAGCGGUGGAGCAUGUGGUUUAAUUCGAUGCAACGCGAAGAACCUUACCUGGUCUUGACAUAUCUAGAAUCCUGCAGAGAUGCGGGAGUGCCUUCGGGAAUUAGAAUACAGGUGCUGCAUGGCUGUCGUCAGCUCGUGUCGUGAGAUGUUGGGUUAAGUCCCGCAACGAGCGCAACCCUUGUCCUUAGUUACCAGCGGGUUAAGCCGGGAACUCUAAGGAUACUGCCAGUGACAAACUGGAGGAAGGCGGGGACGACGUCAAGUCAUCAWGGCCCUUACGACNGGGCUACCMCGUGCUACAUGGUAGGUAC